UGGGGAAUUUUGGACAAUGGGCGAAAGCCUGAUCCAGCAAUGCCGCGUGAGUGAAGAAGGCCUUCGGGUUGUAAAGCUCUUUUGUCAGGGAAGAAACGGUGAGAGCUAAUAUCUUUUGCUAAUGACGGUACCUGAAGAAUAAGCACCGGCUAACUACGUGCCAGCAGCCGCGGUAAUACGUAGGGUGCAAGCGUUAAUCGGAAUUACUGGGCGUAAAGCGUGCGCAGGCGGUUUUGUAAGUCUGAUGUGAAAUCCCCGGGCUCAACCUGGGAAUUGCAUUGGAGACUGCAAGGCUAGAAUCUGGCAGAGGGGGGUAGAAUUCCACGUGUAGCAGUGAAAUGCGUAGAUAUGUGGAGGAACACCGAUGGCGAAGGCAGCCCCCUGGGUCAAGAUUGACGCUCAUGCACGAAAGCGUGGGGAGCAAAACAGGAUUAGAUACCCUGGUAGUCCACGCCCUAAACGAUGUCUACUAGUUGUCGGGUCUUAAUUGACUUGGUAACGCAGCUAACGCGUGAAGUAGACCGCCUGGGGAGUACGGUUCGCAAGAUUAAAACUCAAAUGAAUUGNCGGGGGNCAUAGCUGUUUCCUG
rnacentral:rRNA from 1 species